rnacentral:lncRNA from 1 species
AGCCAUAUAUACAUGCUUGCUAGACUUUGAGCCACAUAUUUACUUUUUACUGCUUAUGAGCAUUGAGUGUGGUCAAGCUGUGUAGACCCUUAGGAGCUUGUCAUGUGGUUAAAAUCAAGAUUCACUUGCACGUUCACUCAUACAUGCUACUUCUACUCCGGAAGUACCAUCCACAUAUAUCCACUCAUUUCCAUCUCCACAUUCACCCGAAAUUAUUCUACUCCUAAUCUGGGAGAGUUAUCUUGGUUACUACCACUUGCUACAUUCUUUCAGGAGAUGAGUGCUCUAAAAAAAUGAGGAAAUAAAAAGGGGCAAGUGCCCGGAACCUCGAAAGAAAAGAAAAAGUGAGACGAGAGGUAAAAAUGGACAAGUGUCCGACAGUAGAAUUAGGGGUACAAGAUACCCACCUGAGAGGAAAGAAAAAGAAAAUAUAGAGCAUCUCAUUCUCCCCAAAAAGCUUCAAAGUGCAAGAAAGGUAUGUAUCCCCUCAAAAGAGCAAAAGUAGAAUUAGACUUUCACCAUUGUUAUCACCGUCAUCACCAUACACCAUUCAUUCGCCACACAUGCACAUCUUGAUUUGACUUAUUGACUUGUUUCUCUGGAUCCAUGGUUUGACUAUGCAAUGUCUUGUAAGUAUGUAUUAGCUGUCUCCCACCUAUGAGCUCCAGAUAUCAAAACCUUAUUAGAGUAGGGUGAGAGAGAAGGUAAUAUCACUAUGCAUUGUACCAAAAAUACCACAUACUUUGAUAGAAGGCAUAUAUCAUUACUGCCUUGGUAAGGAUCUAGAAAUACCACAAAAGAGAGAUUUGAGAGAAUCAUAUAAGGAAUCUCUGAGUUUUAUUUGAAAAUCUGCAAAAACUCCAGAGCUAUAGCUGAUCAAGAAUAAGAGACAUGGCGCUUGACUUGACCGUUCUAUCUUUUAACUGCUCAAGACACAAGUGACGGUUACAAGCCCCAUGGUGAAAGGUAAAAUGAGUAAGUUUUAAGUCUUAACAGUUUAUUCUAACUCAGAGAUGAGAUCUUGUUUGAAUGCGUGUGUACUUUUAAGGCAUGAAACCACUGCAGAAACUCUUGAGUUCAUCCUUGCUCAGGGACGAGCAAGAGGUAAGCUUGGGGGAGUUUGUUGACGGUCCUUAAGUAUCAAAUUUAAUUAUCAAAUAAACAAAGAAAAGAAUCCAAAUGAAAUCAACAUCUAGACUUAGGGUUUUAUCUGACAGAAUUCCACGAGUUUUGGUGUUUGUCUAUUUCUGCAGGGGGUUAUCAGGAAAUAAGGAAGAAAGGCCCACAUUCGGGAUUACAUAGAAAUAUCAACGCAUCGCGCAAUUUUCUACCAUCUAGAAGACUCCAGAAGCCACGGGAAGGAAGCGGAGGCCGAAAGGGGCCAGGCCCAGGGCGCCCGCCUUGAGGACCUGGGCGCCCGCCCCCCUUUGGAUUCCGUUCGGGACUCUCUUCGCACACGACGUUCCACCGACCUAUUGGAUCAAGGAAAACAUAGUACCACAUUGCCUACCGAUCCAAAAAUGCAUAGAGGAGGGGGACUAUAUAAGGAGACCCCCCUGGCCCCUGGAGGAGACAAGAAAUUAUCACAGAGAUUGAGGGUGCCCUCGAAGGAAAACCUCUUCACUAAAUAAUAUUUAUUUUUAGGCUUAGCAACCAAUGUAAAGUAGAAAUAGAUCUUAUAGUUUCUACUAGAUUGAGAGAGAUAGAGUGGAGGUGUGGAUCGGAGGAAGGCCGGCCUGUCGGUGUCUACUCCGAGUUGUACCUACGGGAUCAAGUCUCCUAACCCGAGGCUUGCUUCUAAGAUUCUUCAGUAAUUCGACUUCUAAUUACUAGUAAGUUCUUGUUUUAUUGUUCUUUGGUUUAUGAGUUUACUUUAAUCCUCUUCCGGUUGAGUAUUAGAGUAAUCACUUGCUAGCGUAAACGUGGUGUUUAGGCUAGGGUACUCAUAGAUAUCCCCUGACUAGCUGGACCGUGGUAGUAGCGAGGAACGUGACAUUUCCGAGUUACCUUUGUAUCCCAUAUCUUGUUAGCAGGACGGGUAGGUUUAUAGGUGCGGGUCGAACAUCUUUUGUGUUGUCUAGAUUCCGUGAGCCUCCCCAAUAGAACAGUAGAUCAUCCUUACCAAGGUUAGAACGAGACUACGGUUGCAGUCUUCUCUAUACAUCACUCACAUCGAGAAACAUUCUUUGUAGCCUAAAGGGGUAGUAGCAAUAGAUUUGGUUAGUCAGAUGCACCCUUUCUCCCAGUGGUAAAAAUAUAAAUACGAUAACUCUGGAUAACCUCCCGGGUGAAAUGCUCACCGAUAUCCGUGCGCUUGCGGAUCAUUUCCUUAUUGCGUUACCAAAUAUCAACAGAGAGAUUUGAGAGAAUCAUUGCUGGGAACUCUGAGUUUUAUUUUGAAAAGUUAUGAAAAACUCUAGAACAAAGGUGAAGUAUAGACAGGAGGAAUAGUGCUUGACUUAAUUAUUUUGUCUUUCGAUCACUUAAGAUUUAAGUGCAGGUUCUAAACUCCAUAACACUUCACUCUAAUCUGGAAGAAUUUUAUGCAAAAGCAUGUGUGCCUGUUGUUGACGGUCCUUAAUGCUCACAUUUAACCAUCAACUAAUCAUAGAAAAGGAUCCAAAUGCAACCAACACCUAGACUUAGGGUUUUAUCUGACAGAAUUCCAUGAGUUUUGGUGUUAGUCUAUUUCUGCAGGGGUUAUCAGGAAAUACGGAGGAAAGGCCCACACGUCGGGUUUACAUAGAGAUAUUAACGUGCCGCGCAAUUUUCUAUCAUCUAGAAGACUCCAGAAGCCACGGGACCAAAGCGGAGGCCGAGAGGACAUAGGGACAGGGCGCCCGCCCACCUUUGCUGGGCGCCCGCCCUCAGCCAGAGUCCAAUCAGGACUCUCUUUCGGGAUAUUGCUCCACCGACCUAAAGGAUCAAGAAAAACCACACGAUCAAUGUCGGUUUGAUCCAACGGCCCAGAUUCACUUGAAGGGACUAUAAAACCAGACCCCCUGGCCCCUGGAGAUCAUACCUCUUCUACAGAAUCAAAGCUAGGGUUUCAAUUCUUCAUCCAAGUAGAGAGGAUCCCUCUAGUUCUUCUAGUUCUACCUCUAGUUCAUCUAGAUCUAGUUCUAGUUCAUCUAGUUCUAGUUCCUCUAGUUCUAGUUCUAGUUAGUUCUAGUUGUAAUCUAGAAAAUAGGGAGAGAGAAGAGGAGAGCGGAGGAGGAGGAGCCGGAUCUGUCGGAUCUUCCUCAACAUUGUACUUUUGCAGCAACUGGUUCGUUCUUCAUCGUUCUCCAGGUUCUUCAAUUCAUACUCCUGAGUUCUCUAAUUACUUUUAUUUACAUUCAAGUUAUUUAUUGGAUUCCCGCUUGCAUCAAGUGCUCUAAUCUUUGAAACAUUAGAGUAGUAAUUAAUAGAUUAGACGUGGUGUUUAGUCUUGCAAUUACCUAGAAUUGCACCCAAUCCUGCGGAUUGUUGUGGUAGCCUUAGGGUAGUGACAGCCCUAACGGUCGACGUAUUCCACCUCGUUCGGAUCGGUGUUUGUAGGACCGUAGUCAGACCUUCCUAGCCCCCUUCUCAUCUCUUUCUGUGGUUAGUGCUCUGAUGUCCCGAUAUAAAUAAUCUUGAAGUAAUUCUUGAUUCUUAGAUCAACUAGAGAACUCUCAGGAAACUUCCUCUCUUCCCACCAAAAAUAAUUAUAUAGUUAUCCUUGGGCGAUCUUGGAUCUUAAUUAGUACACUCACAUUCUCUGUGGAAAAUCGAUACUCUGGAAUACUCCCGGGUGAAAGCUACAUCGGUAUCCGUGCGCUUGCGGAUUUUUCUGUUUGCGUUUAAAAUACCCAACAAGCUUUCUGGCGCCGUUGCCGGGGAACGGUAGCUGUGCUAGUUUCGAACCAAGUCGUCCGUGUAACCUUUUUCUUUUCCUUUUUUACCACACUCACCUUACCAUUUUCACCAUACCACAUGGAUUUCACUCUAAGCAUUAAUGAGCAUGGAAUUUAUUUCAUAGCCACUUCAUUUACUCCAUGCUCAUAUGCAACAUCUUCACAAUCCAUUGGUCUCUCCAACAUCACCACAUUCGAGAUCUCCAACCCCCACUUCCUUUCUAUUUAUAAAAACUUUGAAAGGGCGGUUGUCGAUGCAUAUGUCUAUAAUAAAUUUUGCAGAUCUCGUUGAGUUGAUCUUGAUAUAGGUCAGCGUUGGAGGGGAAACCACUUCACUGACAUAAAUUGAUGGUUUCCCAAGGACAAGCUUAGUGUCCUAAAAUAAGCACUGAUCAGAUCAUAAUAUGAGCUUUUAAUUAUUUGCAACAUUACCUUGUGUGUUGAGCAUAUAAGGAUAAUUGUAAAAAUUCCUUCGGGUAUUCUUGUCACUAACCUUUCCAGGAUUGGAGCAAGAAGAUCGGAUGAAUGACAAGCACAAGGUAUGUCCAACCAAUCAUCAUACAACAUUGAAUUAAAUCAUCCAAACUUGAAUUUUGUAAAAUUCAAGCUUGGGGGAGUACUUUACAUAAAAAAAAUCCUUUGCCAUGUUGCUAUGUUGGUUGUCCCUACCUUUGAGACAUGCUCAAUUUGUUAAAUACUAAUCACACUACUUCAUCUCCACUUGAGUAGAUCUCUAUAAAUGCUCUCAUACUACCUUUAUUUGCUUUAGUAUAUGUCUAGGCUUGGAGUAGUUUCAUUUAUCUCUUAAUUAAGCAUGGUGCUUAGUUUAGGGCUGAUGAUCUUACUUCCAAGGGAGUUUAAAUAAAGCAUGAUGCCUAGGUUAAAAUGCCCUCCUAAAUCAAAUUAGACAUGGUGUCUAGGUUGAUUUUUGAGCCAAUAGUAUGCUAUAGUAGAUAUUGGAUAUUUUGUUGGAUUAACCCCUGCAGGAAAACUUUCAAUAUCAACCUGGGAGGUCCUAAGACAAACUCACAUUGGAGACAAAGAAAGAGAUGCAUGAAGUUUAACAAUUUACACAAGGAAGGCAUAGCUCACAAGAGAUGAUCCAUGGAGGGUGCCACAAACACGAUGCACAACCGCUAAGAGAGGAAAGCUUCCACAAGGUGAUACUGUACCAUCACUCUUCAAGUAAGGUAACAUCUUAAAGUACUUGACUAUCACUUCUAUAAGCUUCUCCUUUGUUCUAGCGUUCACAUGAAUAAAAGAGACAAACAUGUAUGAUUUACAACUCUAGAUUAACCAACCUUAUCGAUUCAACAUGUUUAGUCCUUCCACCUUUGUGAUCCCAUACUCUUAAUCAUAUGAGCUAAAAUGUUGCACACUCAAUCUUUGGAAGAUAUAUAAAAAAACAACAUAAGUAUAGAUAGAUUAUCUUUCCAUUAGGUUGAGUGAUCUGAUCUGACAAAUGUUUUAAAUGCUACACUCAUGAUAUUAUUAUCCAUCAAGUUUGUCUUGCUCACUAUGCUUAAGGUUAGAGAAGAACAAUACACUUUUGGUUCUGUUGGUGUUUUCCACCAACAGGGCCCAUGCACUUGAUCUCUGCCUUGUCUCUAUGAGCAGGUACACUUCGAGCAAAAUGUGAAGGACUUUUAUAACUCCCAGACUCCAAGUGAAGAACCUAGAUCUACGAGCACAAACACACUGGAGAUACUGGACACUCAGGCAAUCACUGCCCUGAGAUGCUUGAGGACGUAACUACUGGAGUAACCCUGUUGUGGAAGUAAUUACUGACCUUCUGCCGGUCAAGAGAUAGAAUCCAGGACCUCCCGUCAUCCCGAUCUCCAUCGGCAUGGUGGACUUCCUAGAAGCACUCUGCAACUUUGGCUCCAGCGUCAACAUUAUGCUCAGGGUACUCUAUGAAAAAUUCUUUACACAUCCUUUCCUAGAAACAACCAUGUGUUUGCAGCUUGCAGAUCAGACACUAAGUUUCCCAAAGGGAAUAUUGAAGAACCUCUACGUCCGAGUUGGUACCUUAUACGCUCCAGCAGACUUCGUGGUGAUAGAGACUGAUACUGAUGAGAGGGCACCCAUCAUCCUAGGGAGGCCAUUCCUGAACACCUCGGGAGCUAUCAUCCAUGCUAGUGCUGCCAAGAUCAGUGUCUACAUCAAGGGAAGGAAGGAGACGUUUUCCUUCAAGAACAAGACUACACAAAUCUCACAGCAUUCUCGACAUGAACCAAGGAAGAGGACCAACAGGAGGAACAAGAACAAGCAAAUGUGGACUGAGUCAGCUAAGAUGGUCACUGCAGCUCAAGGAGGUCAAGAUCGUCGACUUAAGUCACCAUUCCUGACCAAAAAGGACAACCCAAGUAUGCCAAACAUCCAGUGCUCCAUUAAUGGAUACAACUUCCAGAAGACGCUUUGCGACACCGGGUCAGGCAUUAACAUAAUGGCCUCAGUCACUUAUCAGCUCCUGCAUGGAACCAUGCCCCUACAACCAAAAUACAUUCAGCUUCAGAUGAUUUGAAGGUUAUUGACAUGGGAGAAGACGAGUACAAUCCACUCAUCACCAUUGGGAGACCGUUUCUCAGCACCGUUAAAGCAAUCAUCUACAUUGAAACCGGAGAAGUCCACAUGCACUUCCCCUCUGAGAAGGUACGCCGCUAUUUUACUGACCCUAACUAUAUACUUCAAGACUCUAAGCAGGUCAGGACAAGAAGAAGACGACGCAACCGUAACCAGAGGAGGAAAAUCAUAAAGGACGGAUGGGCAGACUACGAAGGAGAAGUGGUAAUGUCUGAAGACAUACAACUUGAACAGAACUGACCUAAGGAGACCGUAGCACCGAGUCAGGUAUGGAAAGAGAAGAUAGUUAUACACGAAGAGGAAGCACCGCCAGAACCACCGACUACGCCAUCUAGCGAAUCCCAGGACGAAUGAGAAAACGGAGAGUCCCGUUCGGAGGACUUAAAAACACCGAACGCCUUGCCAAGAGGUAAACUUGGUAGUUAUCUUUUUCCUUUCAAUUAUUUUAAAAUAGUUUGCUUAGUUAAUCAGGUUCACAUCAUCUUAAAAAGAAAAUAAAAAUGUUAAAAAUAGUAAGCCCCAUGUGAGUAUGCUCAUGGCAUAAAACUCAUAAGUACAUUCACUGUGGUGGCGUAAAAAUAAAUAUAUAUUCCUGUCCUAUAAAAAUGAAAAUAUAAAUAAGAUUGUGAUCCUACUAAAGAGAGUAACAUUUAUUGAGCAGGCUCAACAUGAUAAAGGCUAGAUAUUUAUGCUAACACUUAACUAGUUCCACAAAGCUUUGUUGUCUAUUUGAGCUCCAUAGAAUUCAAGGAUCAAAGAAGACUAGUAGACGGAGGACAUCCUAAUCACUGUCAGGGUGCUGCCGACAUUCAAAUACACCUCCGCCACCUGCUAACUACAUCAGAAGCAAUUACGUCAAGAUCCAGCUUGGGGGAGAGCACCCCCAUUUAUCCAGCUAAGUGUUCUACUCAAGUUUAUACUUUACUCAAAUAAUAAAAAGAUGCAUAAUCAUAAAAACCCAAAUAAAGAUUUCUGCUUAUAUAUAUAUCUUUGCUUAGUUUGCUAAAUAAAUAAAUAAAGUUUGCUAUGAACCCUCAUGAUAAGCUCUCACAUGGAAAUGAUGAAUAGUUGCUCUGCCAUGACUAGUUCUCAAAAUUGAAAUCUCUCUCAAGUUUAGACCUAACUGUUAUUAAUUAAGAUUUGCUCUAAACCUGAACUUGUGGGAAGAGUACUUGAUCUGAAGUCUAAGUCGUUAACGGAUAUGAUAUGGGAAGGUUGAGCUGCUGUUUAUCUGUUCCUAGAGAUACUAGAAUUCUGGAGAAUUUUAUUUUUGAAAAUCUUUAAAAUGUUGCAUGAUGAGUUCCUGUAUGAUGAGAGUUUAAAUUCCUACCACAGCCAUAUAUACAUGCUUGCUAGACUAUGAACCACACAUUUACUUUACUACUUAUGAGCAUUGAGUGUGGUCAAGCUGUGUAGACCCUUAGGAGCUUGUCAUGUGGUUAAAUCAAGAUUCACUUGCACGUUCACUCACACAUGCUACUUCUACUCCGAAAGUACGCAUCCACAUAUAUCCACCCAUUUCCAUCUCCAGAACCACCCAAAAAUAUUCUACUCCUAAUCCGGGAGAGAAUAGCCAAAAAUAUUUCUGUUUUUCCCUGUGAAAUAAAUGCUCAAGUUAUCUUGGUUACUACCACUUGCUAUAUUAUUUCAGGAGAUGAGUGCUCUAAAAAAAAGAAAAAAAAGAAAAAAAUAUAUAUACAAGGAAAUAAAAAGGGGCAAGUGCCCGGAACCUCGAAAGAAAAGAAAAAGUGAGACGAGAGGUAAAAAUGGACAAGUGUCCGAUAGUAGAAUUAGGGGGUACAAGAUACCCACCUGAGAGAGAAGAAAAAGAAAAUACAGAGCAUCUCAUUCUCCCCAAAAGUUUAAAAAGAGCAAGAAAGGUAUGUAUCCCCUCAAAAGAGCAUAAGUAGAAUUAGACUUUCACCAUUGUUAUCACCAUCAUCACCAUACACCAUUCAUUCGCCACACAUGCACAUCUUGAUUUGACUUAUUGACUUGUUACUCUGGAUCCAUGGUUUGACUAUGCAAUAAAUGUCUUGUAAGUAUGUAAUAGCUGUCUCCCACCUAUGAGCUCCAGAUAUCAAAACCUUAUUAGAGUAGGGUGAGAGAGAAGGCAAUGUCACUAUGCCUCAUACCAAAAAUACCACAUACUUUGAGAGAAGGCAUACACCAUUACUGCCUUGGUAAGAAUCCAAAAAUACCACAAAAGAGAAACUAGAGAGAGUCAUACAAGGAAUCUCUGAGUUUUAUUUGAAAAUCUGCAAAAAACUCCAGAGCUAUAGUUAAUCAAAGAACAAGAGACAUGGCGCUUGACUAGACUGUUCUAUCUUUUAACUACUCAAGACAGAAGUGACGGUUACAAGUCCCAUGGUGAAAGGUAAAUGAGUAAGUUUUAAGUCUUAACAGUUUACUCUAACCAGAGAUAAGAUGACAACCUUGUAUCUAAGUGGUGUUAGCUAGUGUCAACAACCUCCCCGGUUCCAAUGUAUAUGAUGGCCUUUGUGGUGUUGAGGAAUGGUCUUCCUAGGAUGAUGGGUGGAUUAUAUUCUUCUCCCAUGUUGACGACCAAGAAGUCAGUGGGGACAUAGUGGUCUUCAUUCUAGAUAGGGACAUUUUUGGCUAUCCCAUCCACGAAGCGAAAAGACUGGUCUGCCAACUACGGCUGUGCAUAGGUGGGUUCCAUAGGCAUAGUACCAUAUAGAAAGUCAUAGGUUACCUUAGCCAUGAUGUUGACACCUGAUCUAGUGUCACAGAUAGUGUUGUAGAAGUAACAUCUGUUGAUGGGGUAUAGAAUGGUCGGGACACCUAGGUCGUCCUUCUUUGUUAGAUGUGGAGACUUGAGCAGGUGGUCAUACUCCAUACAGAUCGCAGUGACCAUCUGUGCUGUCUCAGUCUUCUAGGCCUUCUACUUGCCCUUGGUUUUGGUCUUGGCCUUGUUCUAGGUGUUAUUCUUGUUUCUACCGCCGUCUGUCUCCUUCUGAGCAAGGGUUGAUAAUGUCUUGUUCUAGAAAGAAAAGGCUUCCUUGUUGCCCUUGAUGUUGAAAGUGAUCUUGGCAUUGUGCUGGCAUAGAUGAUAGCUCCGGCAGUGUUCAAGAAUGGUCAUCCCAAAAUGAUAGGAGACCUCUCAUCGAUGUCUGUGUUAACAACAGAGAAGUCUGCAGGUAUGUACGAGUUGCC